UAUAAGGGAUUUUAAGUUUUUGUGUGUACUGUUUGACCACUCGUCUUAUUAAAAAAUUUUGAAAUUAUUAUUUCUUUUGACUUAAUUUAUUUUCCAAAGUACUUUAAGCACAACUUUUCGUUUUUUAUAUUUACAUAAAUUUUUUAAAUAAGAUGAGUGGUCAAACAGUACAAGCAAAAACUCAAAAUCCCUUAUA
rnacentral:pre_miRNA from 1 species